rnacentral:rRNA from 1 species
CACGUAGGGUGCGAGCGUUGUCCGGAAUUAUUGGGCGUAAAGAGCUCGUAGGCGGUUCGGUAAGUCGGGUGUGAAAACUCUGGGCUCAACCCAGAGAGGCCACCCGAUACUGCUGUGACUAGAGUGCGGUAGGGGAGCGGGGAAUUCCUGGUGUAGCGGUGAAAUGCGCAGAUAUCAGGAGGAACACCAGCGGCGAAGGCGCCGCUCUGGGCCGUAACUGACGCUGAGGAGCGAAAGCAUGGGUAGCAAACAGG